GGCGAACGGGUGAGUAACACGUGGGCAAUCUGCCCUGCACUCUGGGACAAGCCCUGGAAACGGGGUCUAAUACCGGAUACUGACCCGCUUGGGCAUCCAAGCGGUUCGAAAGCUCCGGCGGUGCAGGAUGAGCCCGCGGCCUAUCAGCUUGUUGGUGAGGUAAUGGCUCACCAAGGCGACGACGGGUAGCCGGCCUGAGAGGGCGACCGGCCACACUGGGACUGAGACACGGCCCCAGACUCCUACGGGGAGGCAGCAGUGGGGAAAUAUUGCACAAUGGGCGAAAGCCUGAUGCAGCGACGCCGCGUGAGGGAUGACGGCCUUCGGGUUGUAAACCCUCUUUCAGCAGGGAAGAAGCGAAAGUGACGGUACCUGCAGAAGAAGCGCCCGGCUAACUACGUGCCAGCAGCCGCGGUAAUACGUAGGGCGCGAGCGUUGUCCGGAAUUAUUGGGCGUAAAGAGCUCGUAGGCGGCUUGUCACGUCGGUUGUGAAAGCCCGGGGCUUAACCCCGGGUCUGCAGUCGAUACGGGCAGGCUAGAGUUCGGUAGGGGAGAUCGGAAUUCCUGGUGUAGCGGUGAAAUGCGCAGAUAUCAGGAGGAACACCGGUGGCGAAGGCGGAUCUCUGGGCCGAUACUGACGCUGAGGAGCGAAAGCGUGGGGAGCGAACAGGAUUAGAUACCCUGGUAGUCCACGCCGUAAACGGUGGGCACUAGGUGUGGGCGACAUUCCACGUCGUCCGUGCCGCAGCUAACGCAUUAAGUGCCCCGCCUGGGGAGUACGGCCGCAAGGCUAAAACUCAAAGGAAUUGCCGGGGGCCCGCACAAGCGGCGGAGCAUGUGGCUUAAUUCGACGCAACGCGAAGAACCUUACCAAGGCUUGACAUACACCGGAAACGUCUGGAGACAGGC
rnacentral:rRNA from 1 species